CCCUGAAUUCAGCUGUUAAUAGUCAAAUAAUCAACACCUGAACAGCUGAAGUCUAUUAGUUUUCAUUGCAUAGUAAAUGGAUAAUGCUUUCUUGUACUGGUAUUUUAAAGCUUUGGCAGCAUUGAACCUGUGUUCCUGAGGCGGAGCAGGCAGGGGCUGGCAGCAGAUGGCACUGCUCCCCUCUGGGGCCUCCUGCUCCCCUGCGGCCAGACGUUCUUCUCAGGAGACUGCAAGGAAGACUGAAGUCUUGGACCACUCAAGGCAUUAAAAAAUCUACAACAUAUCUGCCCUGCCUUCUCCCUUGUGGAGCCUGUGGAAAUUGCCAAGGAAUUCCCAUGCCUGUUCAGCCGUGUUAUGCUGGAAGCAGUCACUAAGAAUGCACUGUGUUUUUUAGAUUUAAAUGAAAGAAAAAGGGUUUUUUUCCUCCCUGCAGCAUGUGAAUGUUUGGGAAAUGCCUCCAAAUAGAGAAAGAAUCAUAACUUUGACUCUAAACAUUUUGAAGAGUUUCAAUGUUAAAGGUGUUGGUACCUCCUGGCAGCUGUUUUGUUCAGAGCUGAUCUCUGUCACAUGGGGCAGCACGUGCAGUACCAGCAGCAUCCCAGCCAACCUUUCUUCCUUGGUUGAAGGGGAGAAGAGGGAGACUGUCUUCAAACACAGAGGACUGCAGCUCUCCCAAGAGCUCCUCUGCUUUCUGUGGCAGAUGUGCAGGCCCAGAGUUUCUGUUCCCAGCUGAGAGCCCAGCAUGGCAGGAACUCUACCAGAGUGUGUGGAGCAGAGCAUGGAAGAAGGACUUAGUGGUGCUCUCCAAACACCCACCAUGCCAUUCUGCUUCCCAACGAGCUGGCUGUCAGCAGUCAUCUUUCUAUUUAAGGGUUUUGUUUCAUUAGUGUGUUUGAAGGGCAGAAAUGUAAUAUUGGAGCUGAUGGGGUUUGCAGUCAGGUUAAAUUCAAUAAAGUCCAUGCUUAGUAAGAUCUUGUAGCUAAAAAUCAUCUUAAUGCUUUGCAUAAUCACAGCUUUAUAAAAGGAACCAAAGAAAAUCCAUGAGCACUGUGAUUACUUAUGCAGAGGUAGAAAUUACCAUGUGUGUAAGUAAUAGGCGGUGUUAGUCUGGGUUUGUGUACUUUAGAUAGAUGUGUUUAUUCUAAUUUAUUGUCAGGAUUGUAUUUGAACCGAACCAAUUAUUAGUUAUAAAGUUGAAAUGUCUUAUGGAUACGGGCAUUAUAUAACUAUUGGAGGACUUUGGCUCCUUACAACUAUUAGAGGACCUUGGCUCCAUGUAGUAUUUUGUCUUUCAUAUGACAACACCUAUCAUUUCCAAGUAUCUAUCUAAACCUUGGUGUGUCUCGAUUGUUUCAGAUUAUCAUAGAGGUAUGGAAUCAGUUUAUUAAAGCCCUCUGGGACCAUUGAGUCCAAUGAUUCCCCCAACACUGCCAAGGCCACCCUAACUGUUGUACCCAAGUGCCACAUGUACACAGCUAUUUAAUCCCUCUGGGGAUGGGGACUCCACCAUUGGGCUGGUCAAACCUUUUGGCUAAGAAAUUUUUCCAAAUAUCUCAUCUAAACCUCCCUUGGCACAACAUGAGGCCGCCACCUUAUGGCUUAUACUACCAGUCUGGAAUUGCUCUCCUUAAAGUUCUCCAUUGCAGUACUCGUGUGAGACAUCUAGCCUAAUACAGUCCUUUGCUUUAAGAAAGUGGGUAUGGAUUAGGAUCCUAUUUUUGUCAUUUGCCUUUAUGAAUAUAUCCUUUGGUUCCAGUAGGACAGUUUACAAUACAGGGGAGAGUUUUGUCUUAUAGGUAUGUAGUAGUUAAUUUUUAACUGAGACAGAACUUUUAUGUGUGCUAAGUUUUCUGUGUUCCAAGCAGUAAGAAAUCUAGCUCUGAAAAUGCAUUGCCAUUAGAAUUGAGAUUAACUACUUUACUGUGGUGGAUCCUCAAGCUAAUGCCUUGAGGCCUGCUCUCUAGUCAAAUGCAAUGGCAUGGGCUUUAGAACAGGACUGGUUCCAGACAACUAAGAACUUAGACCACAAGUGAGAAAGUACUUACCAAUAAAACAUGUUCUAGUGCUGGAAAAGACUGUUUGAGAAGAUGUUAAGAGAGUCCAAACUAUACUGCUCUUACACGACAGGACAGUUAAUUUUCAGAUCUUUAAAAAUAUGUAUUUUCUAUUGAUGUUAAGCUCUGCCUGACUAAAGGAACUCAUUUUUGUUUCACACAAAGCCUUCUUAAUGCAAGAGGAGAACAGGAAUGGAGUCCCAGCCUCUUCUGCCUGUUUUCUCAUUCUGCAGAGCAGAUGAGAAAUUCCAGGAGAGGACAGACUGUCAGAUAUGUGUUGGCCAAGACUAGGAGGUGAGGGUGUUGCACACCUUCACUAGCCUCAUCUGCUCAGCCUUUUGUCUACAGUUCACAGUCUAAGUUCCACCUUGUGCCAUAGUUACAUGCAGAACUAUGUAAAUGCAAUGUUGGUGGAGUUAUUCUUGCAGUGCUGUGGCCAGAGGUGAGCCUUUUUUCUUUAAAGCAAGGAAAGAUAGAACUAUCUCUCAUGACUUCUAAGGUACUGGGACUCCUUAUCAUUAAGAUAAAAUGACUCCCUUAGCAGUGCAAAGUUAUAUAGCCCUGACAACUGUGUGCCCUCUAACCAAUGGUGAUUACUUUUCUUUUUCCUCUUUGUGAGUAUAAUUUACAAUGUUAAGGAUGAUCUUUGAGAUCUUUGCAAGAUGAGCUUGUAAAUUUUAGGUCUUCAUUUUAUUUUAAUAGAAAAGUAGAAAUGUCUUAUGUUUUUCAGAUUACUGUUUUAUAAUCUUAAAUAAUUAAAAACAAAAUCCAGAUUCUAUCUUGGCAACAU